UGUUAGAGUAGUCCAAGAAAAGAAAAAAAGGAAGGACAAGUGGGGUGAGGACAGCCUCAGCAAGAUAGCAGCAUGGAGGCUAAAAAGUACUACAUGUGUGGUGUAGUGGGGCAUUUUAAGCAGGAGUGUCUACUUAGAAGGAAAGGAGAAAGAAAAAAUUUCGGGGAUUCUAUUGAAUCAGUCGCUAAGUUGGAAGAGUCGGAUGAGCUCUUGAUGGUCUCGGAGAAACCCGUGGGGUGUUGUGUAUCCAAAAUGGCUUUGAAAGGAUUCAUGGAGUGCG
rnacentral:lncRNA from 1 species